GCGCACGUGAGCAACACGCAGCUGAUUUCAGCAGCAGUGUGGACAGGCUGUACUGAGUCCUGCAGACUGGAUUUGAUAAACACAGGAUCCUGACCAAUUCAUCUUCUGCUGGUGGGGUGUCAAUUCCAUCACAACCCGGAAGAAUGGGCUUGCUGGCAGCAAGACAAAUCUCUGGAGCAAUUCUUCCUUGGCUGAUAAUUUACCUAUAGGACAUGCAGAUUGUAAUAUUUUGUUUGGAAAUAAA
rnacentral:lncRNA from 1 species